GACGAACGCUGGCGGCGUGCUUAACACAUGCAAGUCGAACGGAAAGGCCCUGCUUUUGUGGGGUGCUCGAGUGGCGAACGGGUGAGUAACACGUGAGUAACCUGCCCUUGACUUUGGGAUAACUUCAGGAAACUGGGGCUAAUACCGGAUAGGAGCUCCUGCUGCAUGGUGGGGGUUGGAAAGUUUCGGCGGUUGGGGAUGGACUCGCGGCUUAUCAGCUUGUUGGUGGGGUAGUGGCUUACCAAGGCUUUGACGGGUAGCCGGCCCGAGAGGGUGACCGGCGACAUUGGGACUGAGAUACGGCCCAGACUCCUACGGGAGGCAGCAGUGGGGAAUAUUGCACAAUGGGCGGAAGCCUGAUGCAGCAACGCCGCGUGCGGGAUGACGGCCUUCGGGUUGUAAACCGCUUUCGCCUGUGACGAAGCGUGAGUGACGGUAAUGGGUAAAGAAGCACCGGCUAACUACGUG
rnacentral:rRNA from 1 species